rnacentral:rRNA from 1 species
AGCGAACGCUGGCGGCAGGCCUAACACAUGCAAGUCGAACGAACCUUGCGGGGUUAGUGCCGUACUGGUGAGUAACGCGUAGGAACGUGCCUUUAGGUUCGGAAUAACUCAGGGAAACUUGUGCUACUACCGAAUGUGCCCUUCGGGGGGAAGAUUUAUCGCCUUUAGAGCGGCCCGCGACUGAUUAGCUAGUUGGUUGAGGUAAUGGCUCACCAAGGCGACGGUCGGUAGCUGGUCAGUGAGGAUCAGCAGCGACAUUGGGACUGAGACACAGCCCAAACUCCUACGGGAGGCAGCAGUGGGGAAUCUUGCGCAACGGGCGAAAGGCUGACGCAGCUAUGCCGCGUGAAUGAUGAUGGUCUUAGGAUUGUAAAAUUCUUUCACCGGGGACGAUAAUGACGGUACCCGGAGAAGAAGCCCCGGCUAACUUCGUG